AUGGAAAUAUAGAAUAACAAAUGCAAGGAAAGGAGAGAAUAAAGAGAUUUAGGUGUUCACCAAAUAACAGAGAAGUGUUUAGAAGCGAGACAGGACAUUAACAAAGGUUCUGAGAGUAAAGAUUGGGCUGCUUGGGUCCUUAUGGCAGACAGAUCAGAAAGAGGAAGAGCUUUGAAUCACAGCUAACUGCGUCACAUCGUUUAUGUGAAAUUCCAGUGAAACCAGAGAAUGUCUAAUAUGAGACGGGCUCUGGCGAAACUAAAGUAAUGGCGCGUUCACACCAAAAGCGAAGGGGCGGCGCAACUUCCAUACAAAGUCAACGUAUAGACGCGUUCCAGGCGACGGGCGCGUUCGACUCCAUACAAAGUCAACGUAUAGUAAUGCUGUAGCCUACUUUAUAUCGUCUGUGGGGAAAUCCUGGGACUCUCAGAGUAUCAAACUACAACUGGAAAAAAAGAGAAGCUUAGGAAACACUUUUAUUUUGAAAACUUCUGAGUUAAGGGACAUAAAAGACAACAACCCCAAAAACACGCUGUCGGAAACACCUCGGAUCAAACCAGGGACAGGACAGACCCGGAAGAGGGAAGACAUGCAGUAAAGGACCACCUGUCUGAAUCAGGCAGCCUCCGGCUGUACGUGACCUCAUCAGCCCAGAGUGAAGGGACGUACAGGUGUACUCUCAGGUACGCAGACGAAGAAGACGUAACCCACAUUGAACCUGAAGAUAUUGGAAGACCCUAUUGAAGAGGGAUCUUCUAGCACAGUUGGGAUCAUUUUAGGAGUCGUGGAUCCCGUUAUCAUUUUAUAUAUCAUAUAACCGAUAAAGGCCAAAGAAGGACAAGGAAGGAGCUCAAACAACCCAAGUACUGAACCCUCUCCUCAGGAAGUCGUUCCUCUGUCUGAGAUAAAGGGUUCAACCUCCUGACCUUAUUACCGCACCAUCAGACACAGCAGGGUAAGACUGUGGUCGCAGGAGCCAGGAUCCUUGUUUACGUUGUAAUUUAGGGGUGUAAUAGUAGAAUGGGGGGGGGGGGGGGUGC